GACGAACGCUGGCGGCGUGCUUAACACAUGCAAGUCGAACGCUGAAGCUUGGUGCUUGCACUUAGGUGGAUGAGUGGCGAACGGGUGAGUAAUACGUGAGUAACCUGCCCUUGACUCUGGGAUAAGCCUGGGAAACUGGGUCUAAUACUGGAUAUGACCUCCUGUCGCAUGGUGGGGGGUGGAAAGGGUUUGUACUGGUUGUGGAUGGGCUCACGGCCUAUCAGCUUGUUGGUGGGGUAAUGGCCUACCAAGGCGACGACGGGUAGCCGGCCUGAGAGGGUGACCGGCCACACUGGGACUGAGACACGGCCCAGACUCCUACGGGAGGCAGCAGUGGGGAAUAUUGCACAAUGGGCGCAAGCCUGAUGCAGCGACGCCGCGUGAGGGAUGACGGCCUUCGGGUUGUAAACCUCUUUCAGCACGGAAGAAGCGAAAGUGACGGUACGUGCAGAAGAAGCGCCGGCUAACUACGUGCCAGCAGCCGCCGUAAAAC
rnacentral:rRNA from 1 species